GCCGGGUGUGGGGGCCCACACCUGUAAUCCCAGCAACUUUGGAGGCUGAGGCAGGAGGAUUCUGAAUUCAAAGCCAGCCUCAG
rnacentral:sRNA from 1 species